UGCUCUACCAGCAUUUCACCUCAUUACCUCCUGAAUGACCUACCUACAAGGCACUCAUGUGAUGAAAAUACUUGGCAGCCAUCUUGUUUUUCUCUACUCUAUCUGCAGGAGGACUACUGUCACUUCUUGGAGCAGACUAACUAUCUGCUGCCUGUAAGGGCACCACUGGGAGCCAACAGUAGCAUCUCUAGGAAACUGUCCAGUGGAGCGAAUGCGCUCAGGAUCCAACCAUUUCCUACAGACAAUCAAGAUGUCAGGUUGGCAACGUUAUCUUCCCCCUUUGCUACCUCAGGUUGGCGUGACCUUCAUCUCCAGCUGCCAGCGCAUUGACCCUUCAUACAUCUGUCACCCACCACUCCUGGCUAAGCCUUUCUCUCACUUCUUUAUAAUUAAUCACCUAGCUUACAUGUAAAAUUGGAGAAAAAAAGAGGGGGGGCAAAAGGUCAACAGCCACAGCCACAUUAACAUCAACCAGCUGGAUGUCACAUUAGCUGUAAAGCCUGUGUGAUUAUUAAAAAUGAUCUUGGUGGGAGUAAAUUGAUCAUUAAGGAUUAGCUGUUAAAAUGACUCAUUGAUAUAUUGAAUUGCAUCUUCUGUGCCUUAAAGAUAACAAACUGCUCAACAAGGAGUAACUAGGCAUCAAAAACCAACAACAAAAGCAGAAUAAAAAUGGUUUGAGGUACAAUAAGUCGCUCUACGUCUUUUAUUAUUCCACAGUUGGUGUUUGAAAAACACGAUUUCUAACUCAGAUGGGUAAGAAAGCUGCCAAAUCCUGCUCAAAUACCCCCAAUUUGCACAGAAAUGAAGCAUCAAGUCAUCUUUGAAAUGUUACAGUCAGAAAGAUCCAUGUUGACUUUUCAUCACAGCUAAAGAGAGAUGGACUAAACAUAGUCAGUCAUAUUACGAUGAAAGAGGCAAAAACCGACCAGCUUGUCAUCUUUGGAUGGAAAUAUGUGCCACACUAAAUUAUCAAAGCAAAAAAAUAAAUUGCAAUCCUACUCUCCUUUCUUUUGCCAAUAAUAUCCUUCAAAGAAAGAAAAAAAAAGCCUUUCACCAAUAUAUUUUCAAACAGAAAACAAGGUGACUCUUGACUCAUGUCAUUGCUCAAUGUUUUGAAAGAGCGGCAACAGACUUGGUGCUUUUCUGGGUGUGAAAUUUUGCUUGUGGCCUGAGUAGGUGGCCUGGUUGACAUGCCUCCAGUAAGCAAGCAGCAUCAAAAGCCAGUGUCUGUUUUUGCCAUGAAUAAGUGGGUGAGUGGGGGAAGGCAGAGGCAGAUGGCUGUAAUCUGUCUCCAUCGAUAGCCAUCAGUCCUCAACUUCAACACAGUUUGCAAACAUUCACAAAAAGCCUCUUGAAAAGAAGAAUUCCAAAUAUAUCUUGAUUAACUUUUUGCCAUUCUAUCAUCUUCAGUCUUCUGUUUAAAGCCUCUCCAACUACCUUUUGUCGCAUCCAGCCGCUGCAACAAAAAGGCGUGCAAUAUUGGAGCUAUCCAACCAUACAGUUUGGAGUCAGAUACCAGUUCAGAUGAAGAAAACAAAGACGUUCAUGGAUCUAGUCAUCUACAAGUGGAUGCAUUAGAAUGGAGCAGAGCAGGGAGCAUAUGGCCUGCUGUUUGUAGCUUCUAUGUCACAGUUACAGGCUUUUUCAAAUGUUUUUUUUUUAUAUUCACAGCAAUUUUAAUAAAGAAAUACUCACAAUUGCAAUUUUAAGCUUAAUUUUCUUUAUAUGCAUCCAUCAAAAAAAUGCCAUAAAAACAUGUUAACACCAAAAACACAAUAUUUAUUGGUGUGAGUCACAUCAACUUUAUCUCUCUCCUAUUAAAUAAUUGCAAAGACCUCAUAGUUUUUCUCUAGAACAUCCUGCCACAUAACCUCUGAGGGAGGUCAUAUGAUAAGGCCAUUCCCAACCGACCUGAAUCAUUUAAUUCUUUCAGAGGUGUACACUUUCAAUGUUAAAUCGGUUUCACCCAUGCUCUAAGCUCCAUGAGAAGAGGAGAAUUCACUGUAGUUGAGGGUCAAAGCGAAGAGGAACAGCUAGAAACCAGAGCAGUGUGGUCACCUGAUCCAGGGAAAAUGGUCAGCAGGGUUAAGGAACUGUCAUGUGUUUAUUCAAAAUGCACAACCUAAGCAAAAGUGCCUGAGUGGAAGGGCAUGCCAACACAAAACAAAACACAGAAGUUAAUUUAGUCCAAUGGAAACAGCAGAUCUAGACUCUACCAACCACACCAAGCUCACAACCUCCUGCUGUGGCCCACAGGGUGAAAAUCAACAUAUUCGCACCUCAAAGCUCUGCUACACAUCCUCUUUGUUUUAUCUGAUUUCAAGUGAACGCGAGAAGGGAUGAAAGUGUUGAGUGGCGGGAAUCGCAAGGCUUUCGGUGUGUGAAAUACAAACACCACAUACGAGACCUCGAGGGAGGCACAAAAGUAUGCAAAACUGUUGGAGGGGCAGUUUAGGACAGGGUCUUCAAGCCCAAGGGCAAGGGUGGCAGCUGUUAAACCCAGAGGAGAUGAGAUCAGAAAUCCAGCACUGCAUGACGCCCCUUCAUCACAGGAUAAUCCUCAGACAUGAAAAGACGGGUCUAUCUCCAAUUUAAAGGAAAUCUCUAUUCCCCAGAUCCUUCAACUGCAUGAUGCCAGGCUGACACACCCUUCAAGCAUCUGUCACUACUCCCCUAAAGGCUAUAUGCAUCGUAAAUAAGCAGAAGGAACAUGGUAUUUUAUUUGAUCCUUAACAUGUGUGGCACUUCUCAUAUAUGAAAAUGUAUCAAGGCUGGAGAGAAACAGGAGUCAAAAUAAGUCUGUAGGACAAAGCAUCAAUCUACAGCAUCUAACUAGUCAUUAAGAAGGAGCCACUUGCUCCAAACAAUAGCGCGAAUGCUUCUCAAAUGUCAACUUGGUCUGUAGCUGUUCUUUUCCCAGUAUGCAGAAGGAAUGGGAUUGGUUUUUAUUUUCAGACAUUAUAGUUUCAUUUCUGAAAUAAAAAAAGACAGGAGUCAGUUGUCCGUUAUCCUGCACAAUGAAAAAAAAAAAAAAAAAGUUUUGUGACCUCAAAAGAGUGUGCAUCUUUUUAAAUGUGAACGAAAUUAUACUCGAAGUGACCCUCGUCUACAUCGGAGGCGUGCCUCUAACAUAAAAAGGUUCUAUUUGAUUGGUCAACAACAUGAAGAGCUCCAACCGAUUAAUCAAAUGCAUAAAGGUCUUGAAUCGUUAUAUACUUCAAGCUGCCAUGAGAUUGUAUUAGCAUGAGUGUAAACAUUUAAGUUAGCCAUUUAUCGCAGCUGUCUUUUGCGAUACAUGUAUCGCAGAGACUUAUACCAUAAAAAAAAAAAAUCACAAAACUAUAUUCUUGUCAAAUACUUUUUUCAUCACUUCCACAGCUACUAACAAGUCCUUCAGGACGAAUAAAGACAGGAUUUCUGAUUUGUUUAGGUUUUUGUAUUUUUUUUAUGUAUAAUUUUGGGGAUAGUUUUGUUGUAUCCUGCAAACACCCACACGACCUGAAUGAGAAAUGUCACCCAUUCAUUUGUCCUGAAAAGAGCACCUAUGAUGAAGGAGAGUGGUACGCUUGUCUUCUUCACCCUUGCGGGGAGCAGGAGAAAACAUUUAUCACCACUCUCUUCUGAGCAGAUAAGGUGUCUCUAUUUAUUCAGAGCAGGAGAGAUAAACACUGAAUGAAGCAUUGUGGAACACGGGGGGGAAGGCAGACUUAAGGGAGAGAGGAUGGCACACACAAAAAGACAGAAAGGGGAAGCAGCCUACUUUUUUAUAAAAACUAUUUGUCCCCAUGUGAGCAAAUGGCAACUCUCCCUGUGGAGCCUAGAGACUGGAGGAUGACCCCCUACCCCAGCCCCCUUCUAGCCUUCAGAUCAGCCACCAGUCGCAACAUUUCCGGCUUUCAAGUGCCCCCUUCCAGCUAAUCCAUUCCAACCAGGAGACUGUUUGCAUAAUGUUGCUUAAUGGAAAUAAUCCCCAGGAGUCCCGGGCAUUCUGCGUACAGUAGGUCGGGCAUGUUGGGGCGGAAGAAGCCAGAAGAGCCCACAAAUAAAGACGAUUUAAAAAGGAAACAAGGCGGUACAGUGAUCUGCUGAAGGCAGAGCCAGGGGCUGAGAGAUGCACAGGCACUGGACUACAGGAGAUUCAACAGGGACGCUUCUGUUUCCUUGUUCUCCUAAGAAAAGACAAGACAGAGGGACACAGAGAGGAAAAACAAACAGGGAGCACAAGUCCCUACUACAUCAGCACCCCCUCAGAAGCCGGUGUUCAGCAUAACUGUCCAAAAGUGAGGAACACAGUCCAUGUGCUCAUUUCUCACUGUAAUUGCCUGUGCACGGUGACAGACCGGCUCUUGUGAGGGUGACUGGGCAGAUGCUUCCAACUGUAGCACAUCUGAACCGAGAACAACCGCUUUAAGAAAGAGUGGGUCUUUGGGAAUGGGGCGCGUGUUCCUCCCAUGUCAUCAAUCAGCUGUUGAGUAAGAGAACAGGAGAAGAAGUUUGCACACAGACUGUCCUGGGGGCAAAACUGUGAAGCGCACAAGGAUCCAUUUCUUCCUUUCCCUGAAAAAACCCCCCGGAGUAAAUGAAGCCGCAAAGUCUUCCUAAUCAUGUCACAGUAGUUUUCAAAAGUCAUCCCUGCUUACCACGUGAUUUUCAAAAUGACUUCCAGAACUGUUCGGGACUGGUGAGAGACUAAAACAGAGUUUGAUUACAUAUAUUUAAGCUGAAGUGUGUGCAUUUCUGGGUUAACUGCUCCGUAAUAUCAACAAUGUGCGUA
rnacentral:lncRNA from 1 species